rnacentral:rRNA from 1 species
CGAACGGGUGAGUAACGCGUGAGCAACCUGCCUAUGACAGUGGGAUAGCCUCGGGAAACCGGGAUUAAUACCGAAUAAAAUCGUAGAAACACAUGUUUUAACGGUCAAAGAUUUAUCGGUCAUAGAUGGGCUCGCGUCUGAUUAGCUAGUUGGUGAGAUAACAGCCCACCAAGGCGACGAUCAGUAGCCGGUCUGAGAGGAUGAACGGCCACAUUGGAACUGAGACACGGUUCAA